rnacentral:rRNA from 1 species
CGGGCGCGGCGCCGGUCUAAGUCCCUUGGAACGGGGCGUCAUAGAGGGUGAGAAUCCCGUACGGGACCGGGGACCAAGUCCAUGUGAAACUCCUUCGACGAGUCGAGUUGUUUGGGAAUGCAGCUCAAAAUGGGUGGUAAAUUUCAUCUAAAGCUAAAUACCGGCCAGAGACCGAUAGCGCACAAGUAGAGUGAUCGAAAGAUGAAAAGCACUUUGGAAAGAGAGUCAAACAGUACGUGAAAUUGUUGAAAGGGAAGCGCUUGCGACCAGACCUGCCCGCGGGUGAUCAACCGUCCUUCUGGGCGGUGCAUUCGCCCGUGAUCAGGCCAGCAUCGGUUCGGGCGGCCGGAUAAAGGCCUUGGGAACGUAGCUUCUUUCGGGGAGUGUUAUAGCCCUUGGAGCAAUGCGGCCCGCCUGGACCGAGGACCGCGCUUCGGCUAGGAUGCUGGCGUAAUGGUUGUAAGCGGCCCGUCUUGAAACACGGACCAAGGAGUCUAACACCGAUGCGAGUGUUUGGGUGUCAAACCCAUCCGCGUAAUGAAAGUGAACGGAGGUGGGAACCCUUCCCGGGCGCACCAUCGACCGAUCCAGAUGUCUUCGGAUGGAUUUGAGUACGAGCAUCGUUGUUAGGACCCGAAAGAUGGUGAACUAUGCCUGAAUAGGGUGAAGCCAGAGGAAACUCUGGUGGAGGCUCGCAGCGGUUCUGACGUGCAAAUCGAUCGUCAAAUUUGGGUAUAGGGGCGAAAGACUAAUCGAACCAUC